ensembl:lncRNA
AUGCACCCUGGCCCUCCACCACAAACCUUCAAGGCUCCUGCUCCCGCACAAGAGGAUGGCGGGGAGGGAAAAGACAUCUCAGACAGCAUCGCAGUAACCACAACAUGCACCAAAGUGUGCGGUCCAGGUCAGUGGGGUCGUUCUUGUUCAAAAAUAUGUCUCACAAUGGUGUAUCCAGAGGGUCACAAGGACAGUGCGGUUAAGGCUUACGUCAUACUCGAUGAUCAGAGCAAUCGAUCCUUAGCCAGGCCAGAGUUCUUUGAUCUGUUCAACAUUAAACAUAAAUUAGUCAGUUAUGAUCUAAGAACAUGUUCAGGCCUCGUUGAAACAUGGGGGAAAAUGGCUGAAGGAUUUCACAUUGAGUCUUUAGAUGGGUCUGUGGUAAUCCCACUCCCUCCUCUCAUUGAAUGUCAGGACAUUCCUAAUGAAAGAAGCGAGAUCCCAACACCAAACGCUGCACGGCACCAGCCACACCUUCAGUCCAUAGCAAAGUACAUUCCAGAGCUAGACCAUAAGGCAGAAAUACUUCUGCUGCUAGGGCGAGACGUUUUACGUGCACACAAAGUAAGGGAACAAGUUAAUGGCCCUCAUCAUGCGCCCUUCGCCCAGCGCCUAGAUUUAGGGUGGGUCAUAGUCGGGGAGGUGUGUGUAGGUAAGGUCCACAAGCCCACAGUCAACUCAUUCAAAACAAUUAUUCUUGAAAAUGGCCGCCCCACAGUUUUUGGACAGUGUGAUAACUUCCGACAGCUCAAGGAAACACCACACAUUAACAGGCACACUAAGGCUCCAGAGCAAAGUCUGGGACAAUCAGUUUUCAACCGCAGCAAAAACGACAAUGAGCCAGCUCCCUCCAUAGAUGACACACUCUUUUUAGAGAUUAUGGACGAAAGUAUGUACAGAGACGAUGACAAUAGCUGGGUCGCCCCACUUCCUUUCAAAGAGCCUCGCCGGAAAAUGCCUAACAAUAGAGAGCUAGCAGUCAGACGUUUUUUGUCUCUCAAGCGGAGCAUGCAAAAGAAACCCCACAUGCAGCAGCAAUACGUGGAGUUUAUGGGAGGGAUUUUCUCCAGUGGUCACGCUGAGAUAGCACCCGCACUUAAGGAAGGAGAAGAAUGCUGGUAUCUCCCCACGUUUGGGGUCUACCACCCUCAAAAACCCAACAAGAUCAGGGUAGUUUUUGAUUCUAGUGCCCAAGAGGAUGGUGUCUCACUCAAUAGUGUACUCCUCACUGGCCCCGACUUAAACAAUAGUCUCAUUGGGGUACUCCUCCGCUUCCGUAAAGAAAGCAUUGCUGUCAUGGCCGACAUACAGCAAAUGUUUCACUGCUUCAUGGUGCGUGAGGAUCACCGGAACUAUCUUCGCUUUCUGUGGCACAAGGACAAUGACGUUGAAAAGGAGGUCAUUGACUAUAGAAUGAAGGUCCAUGUGUUUGGGAACUCUCCAUCUCCCGCUGUGGCUGUUUACGGACUGCGCAAGGCCAUUGAAGCUGGAGCGAAAGACUAUGGGGCUGACACUGUCAAGUUUGUGGAGAGACACUUCUACGUCGAUGAUGGACUGAUUUCUGUGCCUUCUCCAGCCGAAGCGAUCGACUUGCUCCAAAGAACGCAAGCUUCACUUGCUGAGUCCAAUCUGCGCCUGCAUAAGUUUGCUUCUAACUCCCCAGUAGUCAUGCAAGCCUUCUCUCCUGAAGAUUGCGCAGCAGUCCUGAAAGAUCUAGAUCUGAGUGGUGAGGAAACACAAUCACAGCGCAGUCUAGGCCUAAUUUGGGAAACCAUGACAGACACAUUCACGUUUUCAGUGGCCACAACAAACAAGCCAUUUACUCGUCGAGGUGUCUUGUCAUCAGUUAAUAGUGUCUUCGAUCCACUAGGCUUAUUAGCACCAGUCACCAUUCAAGGAAGAGCUCUACUCAGAGAACUCACCUCAGAAAACUCUGAUUGGGACACACCACUUCCAGAAGAUAAGCAGAGCAAAUGGGAAGCUUGGAGGGAUUCGCUGCAGGACUUAAGGGAACUCCAUGUCCCAAGAACAUACACAUCUACCUCUCUCAGUCAGGCAAGGCGCAAAGAACUCUAUGUCUUUUCAGACGCAUCGACCAAAGCAAUAGGUGCAGUAGCCUACAUGAGAGCUCUGUAUCCAAAUGACAAAGUUGAGGUAGGGUUUGUCAUGGGUAAAGCAAAACUAACUCCUCAGUCAGAGCCCACAAUACCAAGACUGGAACUGUGCGCCGCUGUCUUGGCUGUAGAGAUAGCUGAUCUUGUCAGGAAUGAGCUGGACAUAGAGUUUGACGCAGUUCGCUUUCACACAGACAGCAAGGUGGUCUUGGGCUACAUCUGCAACGAAUCAAAAAGAUUCUACACAUAUGUUCACAACAGAGUGCAGCGUAUUCGCCAGUCUUCAAAGCCGGAGCAGUGGCACUAUGUGCGCACCGAGGAAAACCCAGCGGAUCACGCAUCACGCUCGCUCACAGCAUCUCAACUAACAAAAACAACUUGGUUCACCGGACCCUCCUUCAUCCGUCGUUCAACCCCAGAGACAAAAAAUGAAAACGACAAGUUUGAGUUAGUUGAGUCUGACAAAGACUGUGAAAUCAGGCCACAAGUGAGAACUUGUGCCACUCACCUUCAAGUAGUCUCCUGUAAGCGCUUUGAGCGCUUCUCCACCUUCAAGUCUUUGGUCCGUGCAGUCGCCUUCCUCAUUCACAUGGCAAAAUCUUUCAACGGCUCCAAUUCAAACCAUGGAUGCAAAGGGUGGCACAUAUGUCAGCUUCCUCGUACACCAGAUGAAAUGGAUCAAGCAAAACGUGUCAUCCUCCAACAAGUGCAACAGGUCACCUUCGCAAAGGAGCUGUCUGCCCUUAACGUUGGCAAAUCCAUCGCCAAACAAAGUCCUUUGCAAAAGCUCAGCCCAGUCCUGGACAACGGCAUCAUUUCAGUUGGAGGUCGACUCAAACACUCAGAGCUCGAGAACUCUGAAAAAAAACCGAUAAUUCUCCCAAAAGACAGUCAUGUCUCUGUCCUGCUCACUCGCCACUACCAUGAACAGGUCAAGCACCAGGGUCGUCACCUAACAGAAGGUGCGAUAAGGGCUGGAGGUCUGUGGAUAGUCGGUGGAAAGAGACUAGUUAAUUCAGUUAUCCACAAGUGUGUUAUCUGUCGCAAACUGCGGGGAAAGCAGGAAGAGCAACUCAUGGCAGAUCUUCCCCCGGAACGAUUGAAAACAUGUCCUUCCUUCAGCUACGUCGGCCUUGAUGUUUUCGGGCCUUGGACAGUAACCACCAGACGUACCAGAGGUGGACAUGCACAAAGUAAGCGUUGGGCUAUCCUGUUUACCUGCAUGAGCUCAAGAGCCGUGCACAUUGAGGUAAUUGAGUCCUUAGACACCAGCAGUUGUGUAAAUGCCCUGAGACGCUUCUUUGCCCUGAGAGGCCCUGCCAAAAAACUUAUAUCGGAUCGUGGCACUAAUUUCAUUGGGGCUUCCAAGGAGUUAGGAAUGGACAAAGCUCUGCAAUUAUACCUGAAUGACCAAGGUUGCAGUUGGGAAUUCAACCCGCCUCAUGCGUCCCACAUGGGAGGCUCCUGGGAGCGCAUGAUCGGCAUUGCACGGAGAAUAUUGGAUUCAAUGCUGCUUCAAAAAAUCGUGCCUUAUACCUCCUCCUGGAGAUUUCUUGGACAAGGACCUUUACACCAAGCAGUGGAGACAAGUUCAGGCUCUUGCAAACCAGUUCUGGACACGCUGGAGGCGAGAGUACCUGCCUUUAUUGCAGAAGAGACAGAAAUGGACUAUAUCUUGUCGAAACCUGCAAGUUGGUGA